GUAAAAUUGCCGUGACGUCACGGCCGCCAUCAUGGACCAGGGACCUUGAUCGGCUCCGCUGUCUCCUCGGUAAUAUUUAUCGUAUUUUGCAGUGUUUUCCUGGUGUUUCCACGUCUUUCUAGACUCAGACGUGUAGAUAAGACUAGAAUGAGUAAGAAAAUAAGAGAAAAAGAGGAGGAAAAUGAAGGGAGAAGGAAUAGAGGAGGUGGUAAGACAGGAAAAUGCUAAGAAAACAAUAUUUAGGUUAAUUUUCCCUGCUGCCCUGUCUGUCUUUGUAGUAUUUGUCUUCCUUGACAGUGCUUUCAGUGUAUUUGGUGUGUUUAGGGGGUGUUGGAGUGUGUCUGGAGGUGUUUAUGGGGUGUUGGAGUGUGUGUUGAUGGGAUGUGGUGAUGUUUGAGUCAAUAUUUAGCGUUCCUGGUGCGUUUUGGGGUGUCUUAGGCUUGUUUAGGAGUGCUUUAAGUGUGUUUUGGACUGUUUGCAAUGUUUUGAGAUGUUUCGAGUGUAUUUUGGGAUGUUAUGGAUGAGUUUGGGUGUGUUGUGUGGAUACGGGUGAGUUGUGGCCGCGUUUGUGGGUAUUUUUGGGUAUUCUAGGUCAGUCUGGGUGUGUUUUGGGGUGUAUUGAGUGUGUUUUGGGCCGUUUUCAGUGUUUUGGAAUGUUUUAAGUGUGUUUUGGGAUGUUAUGGAUGAGUUUGAGUGUGUUUUGGGUUGGUACGGUGUGUUUUGGAUGCGUUUUAAGUCAAUUUGGGUGAGUUUUGGAGUAUUUUAAGUGUGUUUGGGCAUAUUUUGGUGCCUUUUCGAUGUGUUUAGGAUGUUUUUUGUGCGUUUAGGAAUGUUCUGGAUAUGUUUAAGGUGUUUUAAGGUGUUUUAGUGUGGUUGGAGUUGCUUUUGAGGUGUUUUGGUUAUGUUAUAGGCAUGUUGCAGAUAAGUACUGGGUCUUUGAGGGUAGAAGUGGUGUGCUUGAGGUAAAAUAAAAGGUUCUGGAGUGUUUAAGGGGGGACUGUGAUAGUAGAAGCGUGUCAGGGGUGUUAUAGCGUGUGUUGUGAUGUAUGAAGCUUCUAGAUGCACGUGUGUGGGAUGUCUGGGUCUUUACGAGGUGUUGUGGUGUUGAAGUCCUAGCAGGGGAAGGUACUGGAGGUUGUAGUGAUGGGUAGAGGGUAAAAACAGAGGUACACUUUAGGUUAGGUAAGGUUAAGUGUUCAUUGGUGUUGAUUCAGUAAUACGAUCUUUUUUUCUUUUAAGAUACAAAUGUAGAGGGACGAAAUAGGGAAGCAGGAAGACCACCACCACCACCACCACCAUCACCACCAGCAGUGUGGAAGAAAGUUUAGGCAAGCGAAGAAAGUUGGAAAAUUAAUAAUUAAACGCUUGCUGUCUUUUAUUAUCUUGAGUAUAAAGUGGUUAUAUGACAAUCUCUCUCUCUCUCUCUCUCUCUCUCUCUCUCUCUCUCUCUCUCUCUCUCUCUCUCUCUCUCUCUCUCUCUCUCUCUCUCUCUCUCUCUCUCAGCUUUGUAUUAGUUACCCGUUGACAGAAGUGACAGCCGCGUUUUCUCUUGUCAGAUGUAAACAAAGCGGUAGUUUCCUUCCAGCUGGUGAUAAAACUCUUUCUCGCUCUUCCUCACUCUCCCACGUCACGGAAGCAGUGUGUGUGUGUGUGUGUGUGUGUGUGUGUGUGUGUGAAGAAGAAAACGUUAUAUUAUAUCUACGUGUUUAAAAGUUUCCUUCAUUUAAGUCCAAAGAGGCUGGCUGGCUGAUGCUAAGGAAGGAAGAAAGGGGUGGUGUUUAGGGGUCUGGGAUGGAAAGCGAGUGAUGUGUUUUGUAGCCUUCAGAUAAAAAAUAUUAACAAAGUUUACACAGUGGGAAAAUUUUGGUGGUGAGAGAGAAAAUGACUAAAAUAUUACCUCAAAUUUAACCAAACGUGGUGGAGCUUCACACUCCUCAGCUGACCCUAAUCAAACCAAGCCUAACCCAAAGAAGCCUACCCUAACUUGUGUCUGGUGCUUCCUCCUCCCCAAGACUGGCUAUCUCGUGUCUUAAUCCCAAGCUGGCCUAACCAAACUUUACCUAACCUAACCUAAGCAAUUCUAACCUAGCCAAACCUUACCUAAGCAAGCCUAACCUAGCCAAGCCUUACCUAACCUAACCUAACCUAACCUAACCUAACCUAGCCAAACCUUACCUAAGCAAGCCUAACCUAGCCAAGCCUUACCUAACCUAACCUAACCUCACCUAACCUAACCUUAAGAAACCUAGCCAAACCUAACAUAACCUAGCCUAACCAAACCUAACCUAACCUACAUCCUCUUCCCACUGCCCCACUUAACCAAACCUAAUGUAACUUUCAGAGCAACGGCAACCCUCCGAUCCGGCAAGCAAGUUGGCGGCAGCGAUGGUGGUGGCGGCGGCAGUGGUGGUGAGGUGGACGGCAGGGACAGAGGGGCAGUACAGGCUGCGGACAUCAAGGAGAAGAGGAACGCACGGACAAGCAAGGUGUUAUUCGGCAGUCUGAUCCUGGACCUGCUCGGCUUGAAGGUGGUGCUGCCUGUGUCUCCUGCUCUCCUCGACUGUUACUCCAAGCACAACACCAGCGGCUUGUAUUCCUCUCAGCUCUCCUGUGUGACUUAUUACCAGCAUAUCAUCGGUUUCGCUGCGAGGUUCCAUUCUGUCUUGUUUGGUAAUUAAGUGGGUUUGUUGUGUUUUGUAUUGGUUUAUAUAUUUUUAGCUUGUUUUUAUUAUUAUUUUUUCAAUUUUUUUAUCCUAUUAUCUAUUUAUUUAUUUUUUGUUUGUUUGUUUGUUUACAGGGUGUGUGUGUGUUUGUUUGUGUUCCUGCUGUUCAAUAUUGCAGCUUGUUUUCUUUAUUAUUGUUAUUUUGUGUUUUAUUCUAUUUCAGUGUUCUGAGGGAGUCUUCAGGUGUUUUUGGGGUGUUUUGGGGUGUUUUUGGAGUGUUUUGGGGUGUUUUUGGUGUGUUGUGAAGUGUUUUGAUGUGUUUUGGGGUGGUUAAGGGGUGUUUUGAAGUGUUUUGUGGUGUUGUGGAGGUGUUUUGGGAUUUUUGGUGUGUUUUAAAGUGUUUUGGGAUGUUUUUGGAAUGUUUUGAUGUGUUUUGAGAUGUUUAGGAGUAUUUUUGGAGUAUUUUGGUGUGUUUUUGGAGUGUUUUGGGAUGUGUUUGUAGUGUUUUGGGGUGUUUUGGGGUAUUUUGAAGGUGUUUUGGUGUGUUUUUGGAGUGUUUUGGGGUAUUUUGGGAUGUUUUGGUGUGUUUUGGGUUAUUUUGAGAGUGUUUUGGUGUGUUUUUGGAGUGUUUCUGGGUGUUUUGGAGUAUUUUGAGGGUGUUUAAAGGUGUUGUGGUAGUUUAAAAUAUAUUGUUAGUUUACUUUUUUUUAACUUUUUAUUUUCUUAUGCAUUAUUUUAUUUCUUAUUUAUAUUGUGGUGUGUUGUCGGUGUGUCCUAACCUAACCUAACCAGCCUACCCUCUCCUAACCUCCCCUCAACCCACAGGCACUGAUUGGCGUGACAUUCAGCAUAGGCUUCACCGUCGGGCACACUGUGGGGGCUGCGUUCUCCCGCUGGGGAAGUACUGGGUGGUUCGCGGCCUCGGCUGUCUACGCACGCACUCUCACUGUGGCUAACAUAAUAUUCUUUGCUGUCUUCUUCCAGGAAUCGCUGCCUGAGGGCAGAAGGAGGAGGGACAUCGGUGCCAGUUUGACCGAGGCUUGGGAGGUGAUCAAUCCUAGGGCUCUGUUCUCCGUCAGCUGUGUCAAGGGCCUGGGCAGAGAAGGUGUGUGUGUGUGUGUUUGUAUGUUCAGUAUUGUGUGUUUGUUCGUGUUUGUAGUAUUGUGUGUGUGUGUGUGUGUGUGUGUGUGUGUACUAGCAAAUAUUCCCUUAUGUUUACUCCUGAAACACACACACACACACACACACACACACACACACACACACACACACACACACACACACACACACACACACACACACACCACCUCCCGUUCCUCCUCCUCCUCCUCUCCCUUCAUUCAUACACACACACACACACACACACACACACACACACACACACACACACACACACACACACACACAUACACUACCUCCCGUUCCUCCUCUUCCUCCUCUCCCUUCAUUCAUAAACAUCUGUCUUUCUCUCUCUCUGUAGAACGCAUGAAAUUAAUACAACUUAGCCGAGUUUACUUCCUCUACCUGUUCCUGUAUUCCAGCCUGGAGUUAACGCUGAUCUUCGCGACCCACCACAAGCAUAGUUACGACUCGUUGGCGCAGGACCGCAAGUUUUCCUUCCUGGGCCUGGUCAUGGCAAUUACACAGAGAGGGUUUAUGCGAAGUGUUAAGACUGGAACUGAAAAAGCAACUGCCAAUUAGGCACACACCUACAUUGUGAUGCAGCUCCUUGGAGGUGGAGAGCUGGCUGCCUCAGAGGAUCAGGAAACACGAGAGGUUCACAGAGGCUCGCCUCGGGCUUCGGUCGUCGUGAGGAACCUGGUGUCAGCAGUUCACUACAUGCACAGGAAAAGCAUCAGUGUUCACGGAGACCUAAAGCCAGACAGGGGUGAAAAGGGUUGGUGUUGAGGAUAGACAGAAAAGAAAAGAAAAGAAAGGAAAGGUAAAAAAAGGAAGUUUUUUUGCAUUGAUUUUCCAUCUGCUUAUUUUAAAGAAUUUAUUGCACGGAAUAUUAUUGAUCUCCAUCAUUUGUAUGGCCUUUAUAAUAAAAAGUAUGAAUUUA